UUUCUUUCUCUCCUUUCCGGUUCCCCUUUAACUGGUUCCUGCUUCCAGGGAGCAGAGCUGGAGGGAGGCCCUGGCAGGCAAAUGCCAGCUUUCCUUGGCCUGAAGUUGAUAUCGUCACUGGUAGAUCCGGGGGUGACUCUAUGGGGAAAGUACCUUGCUGCCGCUCCACGCUCUACAUUUUGCAAACCCAGGAAAAGGAAAUCCAAGUGAAAUCUAAGGAAGCGGAGUGCCCAGGGCAUCACUGUGGCCAGGUUCAACUAGAAUCCUCUGCCUCUGUCAGGACCCACUGCUUAGCACAGCAAGCGUUACGUGGCUAAGUGGACCCUGGUUGUACGGACAGCUGCAUCUUCUAAAUGGGAAUGUGACUUUAGGAAGGGGUUGCGUUCUGAAGCCCGCUCCUCCCAACUGAGCAGUGCUACCUCCUGCACCCUGGUCAGGAAGAUCUCUCUAGAAUGAUGCCCAGACAGCUGUCCAGCACAUUAUAAAGCAGGCUUCUGUUUGCCCUUGGCCUUGGGUGUAGCUGUUGGUAGUUCCGCAGGACCCACAAAGCCACUGAAGGCCACCUGGAAUGUGAUAAGUUCUGAAAGCAGGGACUGUGCCCCUGACCCUGGCCAGCUGCUUCUCCAGAACUUGAAACAGCUGGUCCAGGCCCCAAGGGAACCUGGUGCCAAGGAGUGUGGACACUUCAUUUGGUCCACCUCUGCUCCAGGGAGCCCAGCCCCUAACUUCACAACCUCCUAGAGGAACAAGAACUCCCUAGAAGCAGAUGGAUAUUGCUCCAUCCUCAGACAGAGCCAGGGAGUUACUGUAGCCUUGCUGAGCACAAUGCCUCCUGAGGCUGGUGAGGUGUGGAGGCGGAGGUCCUGGGAGUGCAGGGAUCUUGCCCUGGGCAACUACCUCUGCACCUGAAGGGGUCCUGAAUCCAUCCCCACCCAAAGAUGCUGUCCACAUCCUUGAGCCAACGUGUGGUGCCCUCUGCCUGCUGCAGGAUGAGAUAAGAAGGGACUGUCUCAGAAGCCAUGCCUCCCGCAGCCGGGCAGGGUCGUGCUCGCCUCCAGUCAGUGAUGUGACAAAUCACAAAUAAAGAUCCGUGGGUAAACUGUCA